rnacentral:rRNA from 1 species
GCUUAACACAUGCAAGUCGAACGGUGAAAGAGAGCUUGCUCUCUGGAUCAGUGGCGAACGGGUGAGUAACACGUGAGCAAUCUGCCCUUGACUCUGGGAUAAGCGCUGGAAACGGCGUCUAAUACCGGAUACGAGCUGCGAAGGCAUCUUCAGCAGCUGGAAAGAACUUCGGUCAAGGAUGAGCUCGCGGCCUAUCAGCUUGUUGGUGAGGUAAUGGCUCACCAAGGCGUCGACGGGUAGCCGGCCUGAGAGGGUGACCGGCCACACUGGGACUGAGACACGGCCCAGACUCCUACGGGAGGCAGCAGUGGGGAAUAUUGCACAAUGGGCGCAAGCCUGAUGCAGCAACGCCGCGUGAGGGACGACGGCCUUCGGGUUGUAAACCUCUUUUAGCAGGGAAGAAGCGAAAGUGACGGUACCUGCAGAAAAAGCACCGGCUAACUACGUGCCAGCAGCCGCGGUAAUACGUAGGGUGCAAGCGUUAUCCGGAAUUAUUGGGCGUAAAGAGCUCGUAGGCGGUUUGUCACGUCUGCUGUGAAAACUGGAGGCUCAACCUCCAGCCUGCAGUGGGUACGGGCAGACUAGAGUGCGGUAGGGGAGAUUGGAAUUCCUGGUGUAGCGGUGGAAUGCGCAGAUAUCAGGAGGAACACCGAUGGCGAAGGCAGAUCUCUGGGCCGUAACUGACGCUGAGGAGCGAAAGGGUGGGGAGCAAACAGGCUUAGAUACCCUGGUAGUCCACCCCGUAAACGUUGGGAACUAGUUGUGGGGUCCAUUCC